rnacentral:lncRNA from 1 species
CCAGAAAUGAAGCCAUCGUAAGACAGGGAGGAAGCACUCACAGUGACUUCAAUUUUCUUCAUGCUUUCAUUGGGGUCGGGUUCAGGAGCAUAGAGAGGUAAAGGCUUUUUAUUUUUUUAUUUUUAUUUUUUAUUCUUUUGACAGGCAGAGUGGACAGUGAGAGAGAGAGACAGAGAGAAAGGUCUUCCUUUGCCGUUGGUUCACCCUCCAAUGGCCGCCGCGGCCGGCGCACUGCGGCCGGCGCACCGCGCUGAUCCGAUGGCAGGAGCCAGGAGCCAGGUGCUUUUCCUGGUCUCCCAUGGGGUGCAGGGCCCAAGCACCUGGGCCAUCCUCCACUGCACUCCCUGGCCACAGCAGAGAGCUGGCCUGGAAGAGGGGCAACCGGGACAGAAUCCGGCGCCCCGACCUGGACUAGAACCCGGUGUGCCGGCGCCGCUAGGCAGAGGAUUAGCCUAGUGAGCCACGGCGCCGGCCGGUAAAGGCUUUUUUACAGGUUGUCUUGAACUUAUUGUUUAAGUCUUAACAGGAGAUGCAUUUUACCCAUAGGUUUUUGUUGUCUAUUCAAAAUACUAAAUGUAAAUAUGUCUGUGUCAAACUCUGUCAGUGUUAUAAUAUGCAAGCCAGCCCUCCAUAUCUGAGGGAGACUGGCUUCAGGAUGCCCUUCCUUAUGCAUAUCUGCAGGUGCUCAAGUCCCUGACAUAAAACAGUGCAGUGUUUGCAUACAACCUACACACUCCCCACCAUACUGCUCUAGAUGACUUAGAUAGAACACCUAACACGAUGUCGAUGCUAUGCGGAUAGUUGCUAUACUGUAUUGUUUAGGGAAUAAUGACAAGAAAAAGAAGUCUGUACAUGCUCAGUUACAGAUGCAGUUUCUUUUGCCAAGCAUUUGAACUGCAGUUGGUUGAGUCCAUGCACCCAGAAGCCGUAGGUAACACAGGCCUGGCUGUGCAUCAGAGUCGCCCACAUUGCAUAAGACAUACUUGCGUGGAUCCCAGGAGCCAGUACUUUACAAGAUGUCAUGUGGGGAGACUCCAGAUGAUGAGGGGCAGGCAGCAUUGGAACAACAGAAGGGACGAGUUCAGAGAAAUCAAAACAGGCCAGGAAGUCCAAGAUCUGGAUAAUAGAUCCUAUACGACACCCUAG